rnacentral:rRNA from 1 species
AUGCCCGUAGGAUCCGAUAAUGACAGCAUGGAUGAUGAGAACAAAGUAAGCAUGUCUGGCGCUAAGCCUAGCGAGAUUGAUCCAUUUGACUUUGUCUACUCAAACAUACCAGACAACACUCACAUCCUGAAGCUCGCCGCAAACUGCAAAUACUGCAAGGCCAGAAAGUUUGAGUCUGAGACAGACGGUUUCUACUGUGGCAAUGGCCAGAUCAAACUUAAGCAAGCGGAACCAAUCCCAGAGCUGAUGAGGCUAUGGUCCAACAUGGAUGCAGAUUCUAGACAUUUUCGAGAGAACAUACAGUUCUUCAACAGGCAUUUCGCCUUCACAACCCUUGGCGUCAACCUUGAUGAAAACUACACAAAUAUCAAGUCUAGGGUGUACAUUCUGGGCACACGGCACCAUCUACCACAAUGUGCAUUCGUUUGGGCCUAG